rnacentral:lncRNA from 1 species
CACUCUCCCUCUCCUCCCACCUCUCCGCUUCUAGCUACCUGCUCCCAAUUAUUUUUGGGCGUGCGUUGUUUACUGGCCGUCCAUCCUGCGAUGGACGGCCAGUGCGAUGCACUGCAGAGGAGCCGACACUCGCGGAUCUGAAGAGAUAAAGAAAGUUCCAUGGCCUCCGGUCCCGCUCACCAACCACUACCCCACAUCACAAUUCCUGUCACCACCCAAAUACUAUUCCUCUCAUCCAUCUUGAAAUCCAAGCGACUGCAACCUCCCACCCUCCUACUCCUCCACCUCUCACUCUUUGGAUCAUCUCAGCUUGUAUCCCACUCUUCCACCUUAGUCUCUAAUACUACUUUGGAAUUCGUUGGCCAUGGGGCGUGGCUUCCUUGCUCUAAUUCUCGCCCUCGGGGCCGCCAUCGGAGCUGCCCGUGCGCAGAGCUGUGAGGAAGACCUCCCUGCCGCCCUCACCAAUUAUUCCGGCCUCGCCUGCACUCCCGUCUGGAAUAAUUUUAUCCUCAGGGUAAUUAUAGCUCCAUUUUAUAACAUCUUUCAUCUCCUUCAUUUAUUUAUCGUUGAUAGAAUCCUCAAUGUAGAUAACGUGAUGGAUCUUUAGUUAGGAUUCGGAACUUGGAAAGUCAACACAUUUUUCCGGUGCUUAGAUCUGGUCACUUCUUGUGCUGAUGACGUGGCAUUUCUAUGAAUCAUUGUCUAGG